UUUGAGUAAUUUAAUUUACUUAUUAUUUGACAAAAUUUACUUAUGUUUAAAUUAAACUUACCAAUACUGAAAGUAAAAAAUGUACAUAUUUAAGUAAAAAAACGGUUUUGGGUUCCUGAAAACGGUUUUGGGUAUCACCUUUCUCUUUAAAGUUAUCUACCUUCUUCUUAUUCAGUUCCCAGUUCCAAUGAUACGAUUGAAUUCCCAGGCAAAGGUUUCCACUUUGAUCCACACUUUCUCUUUGUUACAAUUGAAUAAAUCUUCUCACUUCAAAAUUUUCAUCUUUAGUUCACACUUUGCUUCUAUCCUUUCUCAUCGUUCGGUUGGGUUUGAGUGCUGCCAUAUGCAAACACAACAAAAGGGUUAGCGACGGUGGUAGUCAGCCAAAGAGCAUAUGAAAAAUAGCAGUGACGAGGCAAAGGUUUCCACUUUGGUCCAUACUUUCUCUUGGUCCAAUUGUUGUUGCUACAAAGGGACAAAAGGCAAAACAGUCCACUCACAAGCGAAAGCGAAGACGAUGCAAAAAUUGCAAGUCAUUUGGACAUGAUAGACGAAAAUGUACUAAAGUGUGCACAGAUGCAUAUGAAACUCACAAUUAUGAUCAUGUUGGGGCACCCAAUAAUGUUGAGAAUGUAAAUUUGAAUAUGAUAGGAUCAUCCGAUGGCCUAUUGCAAUCAGAUUCACAGCAUGGAUGCAAUAAGGAAUUAAUGGAUAGUAAUUGGUUUCAGAUCAUUCCUCCUGGUCAGGCAUUAAUGUGGGCAUGCAAUCCUUCAUUAAUCCAAAGUCAUGUACAAAACACUAGCUUGUUAGGAGAUGAAAAGUAUUCAGUGAAUGAACCAGAUUUCAGCCAAGACCAUUAAGGAAUUUUAUUCUUGAGAGAGUACAAAUGUUUUUGCACGUCUUUGCUCAAAGCUUUUAGGAUGAUUUAAGUUUCUUCGAAGCUUGCUUGGAAAAAAGUUUGGUGAUCAAAUUUCAGAUAUUGUUAGCAUCCAAGUGCUCUUGGGUUUGUAAACCAGAAAUGUCAAUCCAAACUGAAGCUUUUGAUAGUGAUA